CAGCCGCCGCGGUAAUACGUAGGUGGCAAGCGUUGUCCGGAAUUAUUGGGCGUAAAGGGCUCGCAGGCGGUUUCUAAAGUCUGAUGUGAAAGCCCCCGGCUCAACCGGGGAGGGUCAUUGGAAACUGGGAAACUUGAGUGCAGAAGAGGAGAGUGGAAUUCCAUGUGUAGCGGUGAAAUGCGUAGAGAUGUGGAGGAACACCAGUGGCGAAGGCGACUCUCUGGUCUGUAACUGACGCUGAGGAGCGAAAGCGUGGGGAGCGAACAGGAUUAGAUACCCCCGUAGUCCCUGUCUCUUAUAC
rnacentral:rRNA from 1 species